rnacentral:rRNA from 1 species
UAGGGAAUCUUCGGCAAUGGGGGGAACCCUGACCGAGCAACGCCGCGUGAGUGAAGAAGGUUUUCGGAUCGUAAAGCUCUGUUGUUAAGGAAGAACGAGUGUGAGAAUGGAAAGCUCAUGCUGUGACGGUACUUAACCAGAAAGGGACGGCUAACUACGUGCCAGCAGCCGCGGUAAUACGUAGGUCCCGAGCGUUGUCCGGAUUUAUUGGGCGUAAAGCGAGCGCAGGCGGUUAGAAAAGUCUGAAGUGAAAGGCAGUGGCUCAACCAUUGUAGGCUUUGGAAACUGUUUAACUUGAGUGCAGAAGGGGAGAGUGGAAUUCCAUGUGUAGCGGUGAAAUGCGUAGAUAUAUGGAGGAACACCGGUGGCGAAAGCGGCUCUCUGGUCUGUAACUGACGCUGAGGCUCGAAAGCGUGGGGAGCGAACAGG